AGAGAGAAGGAGAGAGAGAGAAGGAGAGAGUGAUAGAGAGGGAGGCGGAGAGAGAGAAGGAGAGAGUGAUAGAGAGGGAGGUAGAGAGAGAGAGGAGAGAGUGAUAGAGAGGGAGGUAGAGAGAGAGAGAAGGAGAGAGUGAUAGAGAGGGAGGCAGAGAGAGAGAGAAGGAGAGAGUGAUAGAGAGGGAGGCAGAGAUAGAGAGAAGGAGAGAGUGAUAGAGAGGGAGGUAGAGAGAGAGAGGAGAGAGUGAUAGAGAGGGAGGCAGAGAGAGAGAGAAGGAGAGAGUGAUAGAGAGGGAGAGGAGAGAGUGAUAGAGAGGGAGGUAGAGAGUGAGAGAAGGAGAGAG
ensembl:lncRNA